UUUAAUUUCGAAUACCUCAAAUCUUCCCACAUAGUCUCUUUCCAUAACCCUCCAACCAACCUUCAUGCUAACUUGUGAGUGGUGUGAUGUGGGAGUGUGUUUAGUAGUGAAUGCUGAUAUCAGCAUGGUCGGAAGAGAGCAGAGAGAUGUCAUCGAUUCUUGUUCAUCCCUUCUUUCUGCAACUCUUUUCAUGAGCCAAUGUGAGCGAGUGUAUGUUUAUCACAGUCCCUGUGUCAGGGGUGCAAACUCGUCACUUUUGACGAUAUUUGCCGUUUUGAGCUCAAAAUAGGUAAUCCACGUGAAUCGUGUAGAUCCAUAAAAAUAACUUUUGUGGUGGCUGAACUACAAAAGAGAGGCACGAACUGAUCUUCUCCCUGUGUGAUCACCACCAGAGAUACUGGAUAUAGUGAUGGGAUGCUUGUGUCUCCGCCCUUAAAAAUGGGAUUCGUUGUCCACAGAGCGGAACGGCGGGCUGUCAAGCUCCCGCCUGUUCCGCUCUUUUUAGGGAGGGAUAAUUCACGGGCUGCUGCGUUGUCACAAUGGGAACUCUUUCUAGAGCACCUGGUUAAAUUGUGCAUAACAGUAGGGUGUUAGGUGACGCGACAAACAAUGAACGCUAUACGAUAAUAAAAUAAAAAACACAGGCUAAUCAAAUCCAUUUAAACUAAAUGUCAAUAAUGUGAUCAUCAAAAUACAUAGUAAAUCAUUUCAAAACACAAACAUGUUUUCAGUCUAAAUGGUUCAUGUAGUGAGAUAUAUGUGAUUAUUGUAAAAGUUUGCCAGUGCAUAAUUUACGAUCAUCCUGAAUUAAAAUAUGGAAUCAUUUUUGCCAUAUUAAAUUAUUUUAUAUAUGCUAUUUUCCUUGAUGUGUGUUACUACAUUACACAAGCUCAUGUUCUGAACACAUCAAAUUGGGGGAAUUACUAAUCCCUUUUACAUCAGACUGGUGGUGAUUAAAACAACUCAAUCUAUUUGUGGUGGUUAAUUAAAACAACUCAAUCUAUUUGUGGGCAGCAGGGUAGCCUAGUGGUUAGAGCGUUGGACUAGUAACCGAAAGGCUGCAAGUUCAAAUCCCCGAGCUGACAAGGUACAAAUCUGUCAUUCUGCCCCUGAACAUCCACUGGAAAAUAGCAUAUAUAAAAUAAUUUAAUAUGUCAAAAAUUAUUCCAGCCAGGCCGUCAUUGAAAAUAAGAAUUUGUUCUUAACUGACUUGCCUAGUUAAAUAAAGGUUUAUACAUUUAAAAAAAUGUUGUGUGCGCAAGUAUGAUUGUGUGUGGGAGGGGGUACACUGUAUGCUACUGACCUUAAUCAGUGUGUGUUUGAAGAGGGUGGUGGGGUGUCUGUGUUUACUUUUGUCACUGUAUUUUAUUUUGUGGUGCGCAAUGUGCCCCACUAAACUAAUGCACUGCCAGGGAUAGGUGUCACUUUGGUGUGUGGGAAGAAGGAGAUGACACACUGCAGCAGUGCUAGUAUGGAGGUAGUGUGUGUGUUUGGAUAUAUCUAUUGAAAGGCCAUGUAAGGUUAGUGUUGACUAAUGGCAUAAUGCUGGUGAGCCGGGCACAAUCAGGUGAUUGUCCCAUGGUCCUGAGUUUACAUAUCAGCAAAGGUACCAUAUCAUGUUGUUUUUGAGAAACUUGGUGGAUCACAGGUUGACAGGCUACCAGGUCCAACGCUCUGUAAGUGGGCUUACGUGGUUUUGUAGGCACAUGUUUCAUUGCAACGUGGUGAAGAUCUGGUUGGAGAGCUGCACUGCUCUCUGCUUCCCAUGUUGAAGGAGUACGUUAUGGUUUCCCAGGGCAGCCAAACCAUUGUCCACAAGCAGCUUAUAGUGAUCACCACUUUCAUGGCAUGCUUUCUCAAGGCUGAGCAUCACCACACCCAAGAAGCUCAUGGAGAUGAACUUCAUUGACAAGAUGCUGCCUUCCAGAGAAUUGUAUGAUGGAUCAGUGUCUGAGAAACCUAAGGCAGAACAUCCAGGACACCCUAUUGUGUAAAAGUUUCUUAACGUGGUGAAGACUGCAUACAUGACAACUGCAGCCUACAUGCAGAAGAAAAUGCCCCUGGACAGCAUGACCCUGCAAUUGCUCUCUGCACACGACCCAGUGGUGAGAGGCCAUUCACAGACUGGCAUCCUGUUGAAGCGGCUUGCUAGGAUGAUGGACCACCCAGUUCCACCCGAAUUUCAGCUUCCACUGGAAGUCGUGAAGUUUAAUGUGGAUUCUACCCUUCCCCCUUACAAGGAUGGUGAGGACAACAUGGUCAAGUGGUGGGGCCUGAACCAGAUUUUACUAGUGUCUCCCUCAAUCUUCCAUGGUCCUAUUGUGGAGUCUUCGUUUAAUGUGAUGGGAGACAUCACAGCUCAAAAGAGCAUGAACAUGGCUACCUUCAAUGCAAUUCAGACCACCAAAUAUAUCCACAGGUCCAGGAGUCUGACUGCCUUACAGAUGUUCCAGAGACAUGAUGUCAAGUUGAGCAAGGGACUCUAAGUACAUCCGCACUGCAGGAAGGAAGGAUAAAGCUCAGAGACAGGAGAACCUGAUGAAGAGGGAGGGAUAUGGUUGCCAGCCAACAUCCAGUGCCCAGCAGACCAGGAAGACUGCAGUGGAGGAGAAGCAGGCCAGACUGAGGACACAGCUAAACAAAGAAAAAUAGCAAAAUCAUUUUUAUUCGAAGCUAAAAGGAAGGAAGCUAAAAUGUGGACUGUAGGUGGGUGUGGGCUAGAUGUGAGUGAUAACCUGUUACUGUUUAUUUUGAGCUUCAAAAUAAAAUAAUUUUCUUAAAAAUGAGUUGUGUGUGUGAGUUAUACUGACAGGUCAAAUUCUACUAAGAGGAGACUGAGUUGUGCUUAAUGUUGGCUAAGAAUUAAUUUAGCAGAUGGGUCUAGUCCUUGACCUUCACCUUGCAGUGCUUCAUUAAACCCACUGGAAAAUGUAUGUCCCCAAGAAAAUAAUCCUGUCUGGGGAGACUGAGAUUUAUCAUGACAUGAUAACCCAUAAACCAAGACCAAAGAACCCAACCCCCUUUUAUACCCCAGGACACUGUUUUCUCUGUCUAUUGUGGUUUGAAAGGUUAGGAGUAUUGACAGUAUUCCACUAUGUAUUAUGCACUUGAUACUCUCUGAGAAUAUGCAAAUUGUAUGCAAAAAAAAUAGCCUUUUUGGACCGUCACCAGUUUGCACCUCUGCUCCAUGCUUGUGUGUCGUAUACGCCAGUGUGUGUGCAUUCUGCUGGUGGUACGUGAACUGCAUGCCCAGACAGGGAGGCAGCCUGCUGCUGAUUCACAGGUGGGGUCAGUCCUCUCCUGCCUGCCUGGCUCUAUACAGAGAGGUUGAGACUAGAGUGACGGACGGAAUGCAGCCUGACAGGAACCAGAGCCUCAGCCAGGGUGUGUCCCUCCCUCCUGGAGGUCUGUCUGCCACGCCAGUGACCUAUUGGGCGUGGGUGGCAUCACUUCACUGUCCUCUUUCUUCUCCACUCAGGGCCACUCUUUAGUUUGUUUGCCUGGCCGUGAGUGAGUCACACUUUCACCAUUACCAGCCAGUGCCGCAGCAGAGCUCUGGGCGAGUAGGGUGCAGUAGUUGCUCUGCUUUCAGGCCCAUGUGAGGAUGAUGUGGUCGGGCAGCACUACUGUGCACUGUAUACCAUCCGUGUUCUUAUAUAAACACCUGCAUAAUAAAAGGUGCAAAUUUGAUCUGACAUACUAUGAUUUUCUCAUCAUAUUAGACACC